rnacentral:snRNA from 1 species
AAAUCAUACUGCCUUUUGGCUAAGAUCAAGUGUGUAGUACUGUUCUUAUCAGUUUAAUAUCUAAUAUGUGGAUCAUUAUCAAAUGGUUAUGGAUAAACAACA